rnacentral:rRNA from 1 species
UCGGGAAAUUUUUGCAAUAUACGAAAGUAUGACAGAGCAAGCCAGAGUGCUUUUCUUAUAAUUAGAAAAGCUUUUGUGAGAUGUAAAUAGUCUCGAGAAUAAGGACCGGGCAAGACUGGUGCCAGCCGCCGCGGUAAUCCCAGCGGUCCGAGUCGCAGCCACAAUUAUUGGGUCUAAAACAUCCGUAGCUUGCUUAGUAAGUCUCUUGUGAAAUCUGGCCUCUUAAAGGUCGGGCGUGCAAGAGAUACUGCUUAGCUAGAGACCGGGAGACGUAAAGGGUACAUAUAGAGUAGCGGUAAAAUGCGUUGAUCCUAUAUGGACCAACAAUAGCGAAGGCACUUUACGAGAACGGAUCUGACAGUGAGGGAUGAAGGCUAGGGGCGCAAAGUGG